rnacentral:rRNA from 1 species
AUUGAACGCUGGCGGCAGGCCUAACACAUGCAAGUCGAACGGUAACAGGAAGCAGCUUGCUGCUUUGCUGACGAGUGGCGGACGGGUGAGUAAUGUCUGGGAAACUGCCCGAUGGAGGGGGAUAACUACUGGAAACGGUAGCUAAUACCGCAUAACGUAGCAAGACCAAAGAGGGGGACCUUAGGGCCUCUUGCCAUCGGAUGUGCCCAGAUGGGAUUAGCUAGUAGGUGGGGUAACGGCUCACCUAGGCGACGAUCCCUAGCUGGUCUGAGAGGAUGACCAGCCACACUGGAACUGAGACACGGUCCAGACUCCUACGGGAGGCAGCAGUGGGGAAUAUUGCACAAUGGGCGCAAGCCUGAUGCAGCCAUGCCGCGUGUAUGAAGAAGGCCUUCGGGUUGUAAAGUACUUUCAGCGGGGAGGAAGGGAGUAAAGUUAAUACCUUUGCUCAUUGACGUUACCCGCAGAAGAAGCACCGGCUAACUCCGUG